UGCGAAGGACCCGAGCGUUAUCCGGAUUUAUUGGGUUUAAAGGGUGCGUAGGCGGAUUUACAAGUCAGUGGUGAAAUCUCCCGGCUUAACUGGGAAACUGCCAUUGAAACUGUUUAUCUUGAGUACAUUUGAGGCGGGCGGAAUGUGUCAUGUAGAGGUGAAAUUCUUAGAUAUGACACAGAACACCAAUUGCGAAGGCAGCUCGCUAAACUGUAACUGACGCUGAGGCACGAAAGCGUGGGGAUCAAACAGG
rnacentral:rRNA from 1 species